UACGAAGGGGGCUAGCGUUGUUCGGAAUUACUGGGCGUAAAGCGCACGUAGGCGGAUCGAUCAGUCAGGGGUGAAAUCCCAGGCUCAACCCUGGAACUGCCUUUGAUACUGUCGAUCUGGAGUAUGGAAGAGGUGAGUGGAAUUCCGAGUGUAGAGGUGAAAUUCGUAGAUAUUCGGAGGAACACCAGUGGCGAAGGCGGCUCACUGGUCCAUUACUGACGCUGAGGUGCGAAAGCGUGGGAGCAAACAGGG
rnacentral:rRNA from 1 species